UAGAAGUACAAUGCGUUUAAUGGAUUGUACUGCUUUUUAACAACAUGCCAAUUCUUUCAUUUGAUGACAUUUCUUUCCA